rnacentral:snoRNA from 1 species
AUCCUUUUGUAGUUCAUAAGCAUGAUGAUUAGGUGUUUAUACAUCUGUGUGACAUGUGCCUCCCUCAAACCUUGUUACAACAUCAGCACAUUAUCUGCCUGAUG